rnacentral:rRNA from 1 species
GAUGAACGCUGGCGGCGUGCCUAAUACAUGCAAGUCGAGCGAACAGAUGAGGAGCUUGCUCCUCUGACGUUAGCGGCGGACGGGUGAGUAACACGUGGAUAACCUACCUAUAAGACUGGGAUAACUUCGGGAAACCGGAGCUAAUACCGGAUAAUAUAUUGAACCGCAUGGUUCAAUAGUGAAAGACGGUUUUGCUGUCACUUAUAGAUGGAUCCGCGCCGCAUUAGCUAGUUGGUAAGGUAACGGCUUACCAAGGCAACGAUGCGUAGCCGACCUGAGAGAGUGAACGGACACCCGGGAGCGGAGAAACAGUCGAGAGUCCUACGGGAGGCGGCAGUAGGGGAUGUUGCGAAAUGGGGGGAAGGAUGAAGGAGCAACGCCGCUGGAGUGAUGAAGGUCUUCGGAACGUAAAACUCUGUUAUUAGGGAAGAACAAAUGUGUAAGUAACUAUGCACGUCUGGACGGUACCUACUCAGAAAGCGACGGCUAAGUACGUG